GAACGAACGCUGGCGGCAGGCUUAACACAUGCAAGUCGAACGGGCACCUUCGGGUGUCAGUGGCAGACGGGUGAGUAACGCGUGGGAACGUACCCUUCGGUUCGGAAUAACCCAGGGAAACUUGGGCUAACACCGGAUACGUCCGCAAGGAGAAAGAUUUAUCGCCGAAGGAUCGGCCCGCGUCGGAUUAGCUAGUUGGUGGGGUAAUGGCCCACCAAGGCGACGAUCCGUAGCUGGUCUGAGAGGAUGANCAGCCACACUGGGACUGAGACACGGCCCAGACUCCGUACGGGA
rnacentral:rRNA from 1 species